rnacentral:rRNA from 1 species
AAUGAACGUUGGCGGCGUGGAUUAGGCAUGCAAGUCGAGCGAGAACCCCGCAAGGGGGGACAGCGGCGAAAGGGACAGUAAUGUGUAGAUUAUCUGCCCUCAGGUCCGGGAUAGCUGCGGGAAACUGCAGGUAAUACCGGAUAACAUCUCCGGAUCAAAGGUGUGAUUCCGCCUGAGGAUGAGUCUGCAUCCUAUUAGCUAGUUGGUGGGGUAAUGGCCUACCAAGGCAUUGAUGGGUAGCAGGUGUGAGAGCACGACCUGCGUCAUUGGGACUGAGACACUGCCCAGACACCUACGGGCGGCUGCAGUCGAGAAUCUUCGGCAAUGGGCGCAAGCCUGACCGAGCGACGCCGCGUGUGGGAUGAAGGCCUUCGGGUUGUAAACCACUGUCAGAGGGGAUGAAAUGCAGGUGGGUUCUCCCAUCUGUUUGACAUAGCCUCAGAGGAAGGACGGGCUAAGUUCGUG